rnacentral:rRNA from 1 species
CUACCAUGGCUUUCACGGGUAACGGAGGAUUAGGGUUCGAUUCCGGAGAGGGAGCCUGAGAAACGGCUACCACUUCCACGGAAGGCAGCAGGCGCGUAAAUUACCCAAUCCUGAUUCAGGGAGGUAGUGACAAGAAAUAAUGGGUCGGGGUUUUUCCCCGGGACUGCAAUGAGACGAAUUUAGACCCCUUAUCGAGGACCAAUUGGAGGGCAAGUCUGGUGCCAGCAGCCGCGGUAAUUCCAGCUCCAAUAGCGUAUAUUAAAGUUGUUGCAGUUAAAAAGCUCGUAGUUGGAUUUCUGGUUAAAGGUUAGAGCGCACCUGUGUGAGGCUCGAGUCUUUUGCCAUCCUUCUGUUAACCUUACAUGACAUUGAUUUGUCGGUUUGGGGCUCAGAUAUUUUACCUUGAGAAAAUUAGAGUGUUUCAGGCAGGCUUGUGCCCGGAUACAUUAGCAUGGAAUAAUGGAAUAGGACUUUAAUCUCUUCUGUUGGUCUGAGGGGUUGAAGUAAUGAUUAAUAGGGAUAGUUGGGGGCAUUAGUACUUAACUGUCAGAGGUGAAAUUCUCGGAUUUGUUAAAGACUAACUUAUGCGAAAGCAUUUGCCAAGGAUGUUUUCAUUAAUCAA